AUGAAGCCGACGAGGUACUGGAGUGAGCCGGAAGGGGAAAUGGAGGGUGUAGUGUAGCUGGGGAGCUCACUGUGGCCUUUCACUUUCCCUCCCAGGCCAGAAACCCGGUUGGGCGUGCCGGGCCUCCCCCGGCCAUCUCGGGCGAGCUGGAGGCUGCUGCCCGCCCCUCGGCGGGUCUACCCCGUGCUUGACAGAGCCCAGUCGAGCGAGGAGGAGCUGCCCGUUUGCUGCAUGCUGCUGCUCGGCUUUGAGGAGCCUCUCGCUUCUUCUCCUGUGGGCAGCCUCCCCCGGCAGCUUUUCCGCCUUCCUGAGUGAACUGCGCUGCUACCCCCAGAGCGAAGGGAGGAUGGGUGUGUGUGUGUGUGUCUGGGUCAAUCCUGGGCGGAAACAGGGAGAUGAGGCCGAGGCCGCUCCGGGGAGACCAGGGGCCCGGCCUC
rnacentral:lncRNA from 1 species